rnacentral:lncRNA from 1 species
AUGGGAUUUUGUUCCAUGCUGACCAGCCCUAACAUAAACCGAACAUUUUACUUUAACACAUUUUUUCUUUCCUAUACAGCAAAAACAACAAUGAAAACAGAAAAAACAGCAACAACAAAACCAACACCACUUAUGACACAACCGUCUUCUACUGUGACUGCUACCACUACGGCUGCGUCUUCUACUUCUAAAGCUCUGUAUUUCAGUCUGGCGGCAGGAAUCUGUGGUUUCAUCUUCCUGAUUAUCAUCAUCGUCUUUGUCACCUGGAGAUGCAGAUUAAAGAAACAUGAAGCUGACAAACAGUUCCAUGCCUAUGAUGAGGUGUCAGAUGGGAUAGAACUUCAAUACACAUAUGGUGAGGAAUGGAAACUGGCAUCAUACCACAAAUGCAAAUCUGUUGUAGUUUUUUUUAUUAUGUUUUUGUUUAAAUAACUUUGUAUUUUAUUAGAUGUGUCAAAUCAAGAUGAUCAUACAUAUUCAACUAUAGCUGAUCUACCCGUAAACAAAUGUGAAACAGGUAAAUUACAUGGCUUUUGUCUUUUGGGUUCAGAUUUUAGUGUGAAUUAUUGUUUUAGCCUUGGCUCAGUUGGAAAUUCUUUUUAUUAUGAUAAUGUAGGUUUAGGUGCAUUUGACGGGAAGAUCUGUUAUAAAAUACUUGGUAAAAGUUUGUCUCACAUGCACGUAUUCAGCUUCUGUAACUUCUCCCUACAGACAGCCCAUAUUCCUUGGCUGGUCCUGCUACCUGCUAUUUAAACAAUAAAGGUAACUAAGUAUUUCACCUUGUAUUCAAUCUGACACUGAAAAUGUUUCAUAUGAACUUAAAUCUUUUAUGACAUCCAAAAAAGGUCAUUCAUGUGUAUUUUAGCUCACAGUGAAUUUAAAUAUGUGAAAUAAUCACAAUUAAAAAUAUUUUAUAUUUUUUAAAUAAUAUAUAUAUAUUAUAUAUUAUUAUAAUAUAUAAUUUAUAUUCCAUAACGGUUACCUGCAUAUACAUUUUUUUAUUUACAGAUUCAAUGGGAGACAAAACAUAUUUCUUGUUGGAAAAACCCAAAGCACCAGAAGAACUAUAAUAACCAACUUUUGCACUUUUGUUUAACAGAAUCUUCCAUAUACAUACAUACAUACAUAUAUAUAAUAUAUAUAUA